UACGGAGGUGGCUAGCGUUACUCGGAAUUAUUGGGUGUAAAGGGCAAGUAGGCGGCUUGGUAAGUGGGGGGUGAAAUACUCCGGCUCAAUCGGAGAACUGCCUUCCAAACUACCAGGCUUGAGUGUGACAGAGGAAAAUGGAAUUCUCGGUGUAAGGGUGAAAUCUGUAGAUAUCGAGAAGAACACCAGCGGCGAAGGCGAUUUUCUGGGUCACUACUGACGCUAAAUUGCGAAAGCUAGGGGAGCAAACAGAAUUAGAUACUCUGGUAGUCCUAGCCGUAAACGAUGAGCACUAGAUGUCGGCUCCUUUAGGAGUCGGUGUCGCAGCUAACGCAUUAAGUGCUCCACCUGGGGACUACGGUCGCAAGGCUAAA
rnacentral:rRNA from 1 species